GACGUAGGGCGCAAGCGUUGUCCGGAAUUACUGGGCGUAAAGGGCUCGUAGGCGGCCAACUAAGUCAGACGUGAAAUCCCUCGGCUUAACCGGGGAACUGCGUCUGAUACUGGAUGGCUUGAGUUUGGGAGAGGGAUGCGGAAUUCCAGGUGUAGCGGUGAAAUGCGUAGAUAUCUGGAGGAACACCGGUGGCGAAGGCGGCAUCCUGGACCAACACUGACGCUGAGGAGCGAAAGCCAGGGGAGCAAACGGG
rnacentral:rRNA from 1 species